rnacentral:rRNA from 1 species
UACGUAGGGGGCUAGCGUUGUCCGGAAUCAUUGGGCGUAAAGAGCGUGUAGGCGGUUCGGUAAGUCCGCUGUGAAAGUCCAGGGCUCAACCCUGGAAUGCCAGUGGAAACUGCCGAGCUAGAGUCCGGAAGAGGCGAGUGGAAUUCCUGGUGUAGCGGUGAAAUGCGCAGAUAUCAGGAGGAACACCGGUGGCGAAGGCGGAUCUCUGGGCCAUUACUGACGCUGAGGAGCGAAAGCGUGGGGAGCGAACAGG